rnacentral:rRNA from 1 species
CAGUAGCCGCGGUAAUACAGAGGGUGCGAGCGUUAAUCGGAUUUACUGGGCGUAAAGCGUGCGUAGGCGGCUUCUUAAGUCGGAUGUGAAAUCCCUGAGCUUAACUUAGGAAUUGCAUUCGAUACUGGGAAGCUAGAGUAUGGGAGAGGAUGGUAGAAUUCCAGGUGUAGCAGUGAAAUGCGUAGAGAUCGGAAGGAACAUCUGUGGCGAAGGCGACUAUCUGGGCCAACACUGACACUGAGGCACGAAAGCGUGGGGAGCAAACAGGAUUAGAUACCCCUGUAGUCCCUGUCUCUUAUAC